rnacentral:rRNA from 1 species
CAGUCGCCGCGGUAAUACGUAGGGUGCAAGCGUUAAUCGGAAUUACUGGGCGUAAAGCGUGCGCAGGCGGUUGUGCAAGACAGAUGUGAAAUCCCCGAGCUUAACUUGGGAACUGCGUUUGUGACUGCACGGCUAGAGUGUGUCAGAGGGGGGUAGAAUUCCACGUGUAGCAGUGAAAUGCGUAGAUAUGUGGAGGAAUACCGAUGGCGAAGGCAGCCCCCUGGGAUAACACUGACGCUCAUGCACGAAAGCGUGGGGAGCAAACUGGAUUAGAGACCCCGUAGUCCCUGUCUCUUAUACA